rnacentral:tRNA from 1 species
AACCUUUUAUUCAAAAUAUGAUAUUAAAUUGCAAAUUUAAAGGUGUAAUAUUAGUUACUUAGGUUU